CAAUAUCUUCGCACUGCAUCUAAAAGAGAGUCUUUGCUUUUGAAGAUCAACAAAGCUGAGGACGAAUUGAAAGAAAUCUCUUCUGAAGUUAUGAUUGAAGACUCUUUGAUGACCAGUUUGGCUGCACAGAUGAAGGAGCUUCAAGCAAGGAUGGAUGACUGCAAGGCAAGAAUGGUUGCUAAAAAGCGUAAUGCUUCUCAAGGAAUUGAUCGAACAAAGUCUUUGGUCGAGCAGUACAAGAAGCUGAAGGUUGAUGAUGAUUUUGUAGCUGAAUUGAAUGUCACUUCUUCUCAGCAGAGCGAGGAUUGGGGAAGACUUAGGGAAAGAAUUCGCUCGGUCUGGGGCGAAUUGUAAUUAAGACAUCUAAUGCCUUAACUUUUCUUUUUGUAACUUCGUAUUAACUUUCCUCUUGUAACCUCGUACUGAUAGCCAUUGCCAAUUUUGAAUGUAACAGCAGCCAUUGUCAUUAAUGAACAACUAAUUUGUCUUCUUGUGUAUUUAUUGACGUUUGUCCUUAAUUGUCAACCCCC
rnacentral:lncRNA from 1 species